rnacentral:misc_RNA from 1 species
AACCAUAGAAACCUGCGGAGCACCUGCGGAGGGAUCAUUACCGAGUUUACAACUCCCAAACCCCUGUGAACAUACCUAUACGUUGCCUCGGCGGAUCAGCCCGCGCCCUGUAAAAAGGGACGGCCCGCCCGAGGACCCUAAACUCUGUUUUUAGUGGAACUUCUGAGUAAAACAAACAAAUAAAUCAAAACUUUUAACAAUGGAUCU